rnacentral:rRNA from 1 species
CCGUAGCUGGUCUGAGAGGAUGAUCAGCCACACUGGAACUGAGACACGGUCCAGACUCUUACGGGAGGCAGCAGUGGGGAAUAUUGGACAAUGGGCGCAAGCCUGAUCCAGCCAUACCGCGUGGGUGAAGAAGGCCUUCGGGUUGUAAAGCCCUUUUGUUGGGAAAGAAAUCCAGCUGGCUAAUACCCGGUUGGGAUGACGGUACCCAAAGAAUAAGCACCGGCUAACUUCGUGCCAGCAGCCGCGGUAAUACGAAGGGUGCAAGCGUUACUCGGAAUUACUGGGCGUAAAGCGUGCGUAGGUGGUCGUUUAAGUCCGUUGUGAAAGCCCUGGGCUCAACCUGGGAACUGCAGUGGAUACUGGGCGACUAGAGUGUGGUAGAGGGUAGCGGAAUUCCUGGUGUAGCAGUGAAAUGCGUAGAGAUCAGGAGGAACAUCCAUGGCGAAGGCAGCUACCUGGACCAACACUGACACUGAGGGCACGAAAGGCGUGGGGAGCAAACAGCSAUUAKAUACCCUGGUAGUCCACGCCCUAAACGAUGCGAACUGGAUGUUGGGUGCAAUUUGGCACGCAGUAUCGAAGCUAACGCGUUAAGUUCGCCGCCUGGGGAGUACGGUCGCAAGACUGAAACUCAAAGGAAUUGACGGGGGCCCGCACAAGCGGUGGAGUAUGUGGUUUAAUUCGAUGCAACGCGAAGAACCUUACCUGGCCUUGACAUGUCGAGAACUUUCCAGAGAUGGAUUGGUGCCUUCGGGAACUCGAACACAAGUGCUGCAUGGCUGUCGUCA